GUCUUCGUGGCUCAGUUGGUCAGAGCGUUGGUCUCAUAUUACAUGAUUGGGUGUGAAGCCCGAGCAAUCCAAAGGUCGUGAGUUCGAGCCUCACCGAGGACA
rnacentral:tRNA from 1 species